GGAAAGGACUUUCUGAGACCACUAAAGAGAUUCAUCAUGACAUGAGAGGGAGAAGCCAGGUCUUCAAGAAGGUACCAGGAAUAGGACUUCAAUGCAUCUCUCUAAGGAACACAAUUCAACAAAUCAGCCCAGGGCAGGACAUGGCGAGAGUAAGGGUGUCGUUUGGAUGGAGAGUUAGAGGCCUGCCUGAGGUGAGGAAGCAAUACCUACAGGUUCCAGACCAGAAGAAGAGUCAAGAGCAGGUCAAGAGUUUGCUUCAGUGUCCAGGGUGGCUGAGGACCCUGAAAUGAUACAGAGGAGAUGAACAUCCGGGUUACAUUCAGUGAAGUUCUGACCACAUGCUGAGGUGAUACUGAACAGUCAUCGUUCUUUUCCUGUUGGCUUCUUACUUUGGAACACGUGUUCAUUCACUGGGAUCUUCUGAUGUUGUCUCCUCACCUGGGGAUGUUAAUAUAUGCUUGAAAUACCAUCUCCAGCCCCUGUGCUCACAUCUCUAGCAUCAAGUUCUGUCUAACUAGGAACAUUGUGUCAAGGGUGGGGCUUGGUGAACAAAGAAUCCACUUAGGCAAUGGGGCUAUGCCUGAGAUUUGUGAAAAUAAGUAAAAUGGCAAGGCCUGCUAAUGCCUAAUGGAAGGAGAGGUGAUAUGUGGCCCAGAAAAGACUCUAGAUCUGGAGGCAUGGGAACUAUCUUUUCUCUGACUUCUUGACAAUCUGGAAUAAGCUACUUGGCAUCCAUGAAUUAAUAAGAAUAGUGACUGUGUUGCCUCUACCAUUUCAUACAGAGUACACAAACCACCACACAGCAAGUAGCACUUAGCUGAUACCUGCUCGGGGUCAGACACCUUCUCAGCAUUUUAAACACUCCAACUCAGUUACCACAAAUAUCCAUGACAUGCCUAGUGCCAUCAUUCUCCUUAUACACAGAGAGGCAAGUGACUUCCCAGGGUCACUCAGCUAGGAGAUGGCAAGCUGGGACCUGAAGUUAAUAUUUUAUGGUCUCAGAAUUGUACCACUUAUUUCUCUAUACAAUAUACUAUGUCAUCACCUCAAAAUGCAAUGAUAAUGAAUUCCACUGUACUUACUUACAAUAUAAACUCUUCUGUCUUUAAGACUUUUAGAGUAUGACUAAUUUACAUAGUUUGACAGAAGACAAAUUCUUUCAGAAAGUUACAUGUGGGAUUUGGGUAUUUUUUAAUCUCAGAACUCUGGGUACCUGUGGUGCAGCUAAGGUAACUUUUCUUGGUAAGGAAGUUGCUAGGAAUUGAAGCUAGAACCUCAAACAUGUUAAGUACAUGCUUUAUCACUGUUAUACCUCCAGCCUCUUAGGCUUCAGUUUUAUAGUCAGACAGCUAAAGCAUAAUACAGUUAGAUCAACUGGUGGGUCUGUUUGGUUAAAAGUUCAAAUCAUUUUCUAGGCAGAAUAGCAAAACUUUGAAAAAGAUAACAAGCACAGUCAGAUAACCUGUUGUUGUGUAAUGGUGUAGAAGUCAGACAAAUAGCACUGGUUGUAUAAAUUCCAUAUGGUUUAUAGAAGGUUACCUU